AACUUCUAUUAUAAUAUCUUGAUGUUCACCAGAUCCUGCCUGAUUCUGAAAGCUAAAUAAGAUGAGUACUGGUAAGUUCUUUGAUGGGAGAUCUCCAAGGAAUACCAGCUGCUGUAUGCA
rnacentral:rRNA from 11 species